GUCGGUUAUGGCGAUAUGACGCCCCACACGUCAUUUGGGCGACUUGUUGGCUCACUUUGCGCUGUUAUGGGCGUCCUGACAAUUGCACUUCCAGUACCGGUGAGUGAUCUCUAU
rfam:Ancylostoma duodenale strain Zhejiang A_duodenale-1.0_Cont22984.1, whole genome shotgun sequence.